UACGAAGGGGGCUAGCGUUGCUCGGAAUUACUGGGCGUAAAGGGCGCGUAGGCGGCCGUAUAAGUCAGGCGUGAAAUUCCUGGGCUUAACCUGGGGGCUGCGCUUGAGACUGUAUGGCUUGAGGUCAGAAGAGGGUCGUGGAAUUCCCAGUGUAGAGGUGAAAUUCGUAGAUAUUGGGAAGAACACCGGUGGCGAAGGCGGCGACCUGGUCUGAUACUGACGCUGAGGCGCGACAGCGUGGGGAGCAAACAGG
rnacentral:rRNA from 1 species